GCCAGGCAUGGUGGCGUGUGCCUGUAGUCCCAGCUACUUGGGAGGCUGAGGCAGGAGAAUCGCUUGAGCCCAGGAGGCGGAGGUUGCAGUGAGACGAGAUCAUGUCAUUGCACUCCAGCCUAGGCAACAGAGUGAGACUCUGUCUCAU
ensembl:misc_RNA Metazoa_SRP Metazoan signal recognition particle RNA